rnacentral:tRNA from 1 species
GCCCCUGUAGUUUAAUAAAAAUUCUAAUCUUGUAAGUUAGAGAUGUUCUCCCAGGGGUA